rnacentral:rRNA from 1 species
AGUGAACACUGGCGGUAGGCCUAACACAUGCAAGUCGAACGAGUGGCGGACGGGUGUGGAAUACAUCGGAAUCUACUCUGUCGUGGGGGAUAACGUAGGGAAACUUACGCUAACACCGCAUACGACUCAAUGAGCUGAUGUCGGAUUAGCUUGUUUGGGGGGUAAAGGCCCACCAAGGCGACGAUCCGUAGCUGCUCUGAGAGGAUGAUCAGCCACACUGGAACUGAGACACGGUCCAGACUCCUACGGGAGGCAGCAGUGGGGAAUAUUGGACAAUGGGCGCAAGCCUGAUCCAGCCAUGCCGCGUGGGUGAAGAAGGCCUUCGGGUUGUAAAGCCCUUUUAUUGGGGAAGCGGUACCCAAAGAAUAAGCAACGGCUAACUUCGUGCCAGCAGCCGCGGUAAUAC